GUUGAUUCAGUUUUUGUUCAGGGCCAGGUAUGGUUGCCCAAGGGAGUACAAGCGCUGACGUAUCUUGGUUUGUGGAAAUUUUUGAAGCGCCCUUCUCUUCUAUAACCGACACUAUUUAAUAUUUAUUACUUUAUCAAGUCUUCGUCUUCUCAUCGCCUGUGAUUGUCUAUGGAUUCUUCAUAACAGAAUUAGCCAACUUGUUUUUCUUGAAGCUGUUGACUUUUGUCAUUGAAACAUAGGAAAUAUCGUUUUUCG
rnacentral:misc_RNA from 1 species